rnacentral:sRNA from 13 species
AGUUUUAUUUACUUGUAUUUGCAUUUGCAUUUUUUUUGUGUAGUCAACUAGUAAGUGAAAGCCCUCCGCUCACCAAGGUCAACUUUUAAUUUAUUAUUAACGAUAAUUAAUAAUAAAUAAAGGUUAUGAUAGUUUUUAACUAACGUGUAGGACAACAAAAACAAAUUAUGCGUUUAAAGUAGUCAUUGAACAAAAGAAAAAAACAAGAAAAUUCAACUUGUUUCAAAAAAUACACCAUAAUGAAAGAGACAAAACUAAAAGAGAAACAUGAGAAAAGAAGCCAAAGAGCGAGAUAGACAGAUAGACAGAUGAGCAACAACAACAAGAAAUAUUCUGCUAUCUGCCAUCUCUUUCGAAAUCGGGUUCCCAAAUUCUGCCAAUGAAAAGUUGUUUCCGUCAGAAAUAUAUGAUGUAUAUAUCAUAUAUAUAGAAAUAUAUGGUCCAUCCAGAAAUACUGACGAUCGAUCCACAUGUUGUCGUCAGUUGAAAUGAAUAAAUCAAAAGUAUUAUGUAUUUAGCCAGUUUGGUGCAACAUCGUAAGCAGCCCCCAUUUCAAUACACAUAUAGAGUAUAUGCAACAUAUGCAACAUAUAUGUAUGUCUAACAAACAGAUGGGAGACCAAAUUUAAGUAUUCAAUUGAAAAUUGUAUGUCCGUCUUAAUAAUAUAUAGAGCCCGUCAAUUCGAUGUGUAGCAAAUAUUUUAAUGAUUGUUCCCAGUACUCAAUAUACAAUAUAGUUAAUCCAUACUCGUGUAUCUCAUAUACAUCAUACAUCUACUUAUACUUAUUAUACUCGAAAUAAUUUGUCGUACAAUUGUUAGUGUUUAAUGUUUUAGAACCUUGAACUGUGAGUACAGGGUGACGAAAUAGUCGUGCAAUUCUCCAUCGACUAUAGUUUUCUCGUCUAGUCUUAAUUGUAUGUGUAUUUGUAUGUGUUGUGUGUCUGUGCGAGUACUGUACUUAGUAGGCUAUGCUACAACAUCAUCAUCAUUAUUAUUAUUAGAGUACACACUUUGAAAAAGUUGCACAACCAAAACCAAGUCAAGCUAAAUUUCAAAUCUGAUAUCUCAUAAUCCUAGCCGAGGCAAGCAUCAAAACAAUGUCGAAUGUCAAAUUGCAAAAUUGCAAAAUUGCAAAAUUGUACAACAACAAUGAAACAAUUCAAUGAAUACAUGGAAAUACCAAAUAAAGAAAUAACUAUCUAAGUAUACACAAAAUAAAACAAUUUCAACUCGUUUCAUUUUAUCACGUUUGACCUUCGCCUUUGGAGGUCAGCAGACAAAAAAUGUGCAACAAAUUUAAGAAAUCGAUAAACAACGCCUAACUUGGUCAUUUCAAGGGCAGGCUGGUUGGCCUUUGAAGCAAAAAUAGUCCUUGGCCUGCCAAUUCGAGUAAAAUCGGAACAAACCUCAUGUCGAAAAUUUUGGGUGGACCAGGACUACCAACUGGCCAAAGGACAUCCAAAUCGUGCUUAAAGUUAUCGAGAAAGCAAGGAUUCUGUGCGAUUGGAAUUUUAACAAGUGCCUGAGUUCCCAGAUGACUCCAUUAUCCCUGAAUGCAGUUCGUUAGAAGAGGUUCCCGAGAUGUUGGCGCACUGUGUUCUUUGAUCAUCUGUGAAGAUUUGCCCGUGUUUGAGAUAUUAUUCUUUACCCGCCUGUCACCUGUCUAGUUGUGGCUUGG